GGUUGUAGCUCAGUGGAAAAGUGCUUGCCUAGCAUGUGUGAGGCACUGGGUUCAAUUCUCAGCACCA
rnacentral:tRNA from 1 species